rnacentral:pre_miRNA from 1 species
UUUUUAGUAUAAGUAUGUCCCAUUCGAUAUUUGGGAUAUACUUGUAUUGAAA